rnacentral:rRNA from 1 species
CGCGUAGGCGGGAUGAUCAGUCUGUGGUGAAAACUUGCGGCUUAACCGCAAGCCUGCCUUAGAUACUGUCAUUCUUGAGUUCGGAAGAGGGAAGUGGAAUUCCUGGUGUAGCGGUGAAAUGCGUAGAUAUCAGGAAGAACACCGGUGGCGAAGGCGGCUUCCUGGUCCGAUACUGACGCUGAGGCGCGAAAGCGUGGGGAGCAAACAGGAUUAGAUACCCUGGUAGUCC